rnacentral:rRNA from 1 species
GGGUGUGACUGCGUACCUUUUGUAUAAUGGGUCAGCGACUUAUAUUCUGUAGCAAGGUUAACCGAAUAGGGGAGCCGGAGGGAAACCGAGUCUUAAUUGGGCGUUAAGUUGCAGGGUAUAGACCCGAAACCCGGUGAUCUAGCCAUGGGCAGGUUGAAGGUUGGGUAACACUAACUGGAGGACCGAACCGACUAAUGUUGAAAAAUUAGCGGAUGACCUGUGGCUGGGGGUGAAAGGCCAAUCAAACCGGGAGAUAGCUGGUUCUCCCCGAAAGCUAUUUAGGUAGCGCCUCGUGAAUUCAUCUCCGGGGGUAGAGCACUGUUUCGGCUAGGGGGCCAUCCCGGCUUACCAACCCGAUGCAAACUGCGAAUACCGGAGAAUGUUAUCACGGGAGACACACGGCGGGUGCUAACGUCCGUCGUGAAGAGGGAAACAACCCAGACCGCCAGCUAAGGUCCCAAAGUCAUGGUUAAGUGGGAAACGAUGUGGGAAGGCCCAGACAGCCAGGAUGUUGGCUUAGAAGCAGCCAUCAUUUAAAGAAAGCGUAAUAGCUCACUGGUCGAGUCGGCCUGCGCGGAAGAUGUAACGGGGCUAAACCAU